rnacentral:lncRNA from 1 species
GUGAAUAUAAACAGUAAUAACAAACAAUAACAUAUAUACAAAAUAAUGAGAUAAUAGAAUGACAUGGUUACAUAUUCAAUGGUAUACAUAAAGUACAUGAUUUAAGGGAUUUGCAGUGGAAGGCAAAUCUAAUUUAUAACAGACAGGACAAUUUUACAAAAUUUGGCAAGUUUGACAAUUAAAUUGUAGUCAUCAGAACAAAAAAGUUCACAAUACUUUAUAGCAUUUGGCUUUUUGUACACAUUAUAGGGCAAAAGCCUUUUUCUUUCAUUCGAAAAAAAAGUACAUUUAAAUAGAUAAUGAAAUUCAUCACCAAUUUCACAUAAAUUGCAUAAAUCGCAAAUGCGAUCAUCACGUUCAACACCCCAAAAACGACCUUGUUCUAUUGGCAAUUUAUGGUUCAUACAUCUAAAAUUACAAUAUGCCUUUCGAAGAUCAUAUGGUA